UUUCCGUAGGUGAACCUGCGGAAGGAUCAUUACCUUUCAAUGCAGAAGAGUUGGGAUGGUUGAGUAUCUCGCCUCUCAAUUCUCGCUGUAUUUUACCCUUGUUUUUCUCAUACUAUUAUUUCCUCGGCAGGCUCGCCUGCCGGGUGAAACAACUUCAAACCUGUUUAAUUUUCAAUCAGCGUCUGAACAAAUUAAUAAUUACAACUUUCAACAACGGAUCUCUUGGUUCUG
rnacentral:misc_RNA from 1 species